rnacentral:rRNA from 1 species
AGUCACUGACAUUAGAUACCCCCGGUAGUCCAGGGUGUAAACGCUGCAGACUUGGUGUUGGGAACCCUUCGGGGGUGCUCAGUGCCGGAGAGAAGUUGUUAAGUCUGCUACUUGGGGAGUACGUCCGCAAGGAUGAAACUUAAAGGAAUUGGCGGGGGAGCACCGCAACGGGAGGAGCGUGCGGUUUAAUUGGAUUCAACGCCGAAAAACUCACCAGCAGCGACUGUUACAUGAAAGUCAGGUUGAUGACCUUACUAGAUUUUCAG